rnacentral:rRNA from 1 species
AGCGAACGUUAGCGGCGGGCCUAACACAUGCAAGUCGAACGAGAAUGAGGGGGCAACUCCUCUAGUAAAGUGGCGGACGGGUGCGUAACACGUGGGUAAUCUACCUUCCGGCGGGGGACAACAGUCCGAAAGGAUUGCUAAUACCGGGUACGGCGGCGAGGGCUACGGUCCUUGUCGGGAAAGAUGGCCUCUCCUUGGAAGCUGUCACCGGAAGGUGAGCCCGGGUCCCAUCAGCUAGUUGGUGGGGUAACGGCGCACCAAGGCUAAGACGGGUAGCUGGUCGGAGAGGAUGAUCAGCCCCACUGGGACUGCGACACGGCCCAGACUCCUACGGGAGGCAGCAGUGGGGAAUAUUGGGCAAUGGGCGAAAGCCUGGCCCAGCCACGCCGCGUGAGUGAUGAAGGCCUUCGGGUCGUAAAGCUCUGUGGGGAGGGACGAAUAAGCACGGACCAAACACGUCCGGGCCCUGACGGUACCUCCUUAGCAAGCACCGGCUAACCAUGUGCCAGCAGCCGCCGUAAGAC